GGAAGUAAAAGUCGUAACGAGGUAUCCGUAGGUGAACCUGCGGAAGGAUCAUUAACGAAGGAGAUUGUGGGUGGGGGGGGGAGGAGGGUUGGAGGGAUGAUUGAUUGAUCGUCUGAUCGAUUAUCCACUCUCAUCCACUCUCUCCCACCCACACCAUUAUUCACCCCGAGUAGUCGUUGUCGACUGCGGGCCGUUUUGAGCGAUCAAAACACAAAAUAUAUAGACGCAUGGAUGUUUGACAGUAUUUAUGAGUAAAAUGAUAAACAACUUUUAACAAUGGAUCUCUUGGCUCUU
rnacentral:misc_RNA from 1 species